GCCAGCAUCCCUGCCUGGCCAUGGAACACGGAUCAUCCCGGAGAAAAAUGUUAACGUGCCACUGGCAGAGCAUGUUCAGCAUCAGAGAGGUGGCAGCUGUAAAUACCCUCAGCAAACACUGCUGUCUCCAACCCCGACCAAGGAGCAGGCCUGAAAAGUGCACUUCCACUCACAUAUUGCCGUUUACUAAAUCCUGAAUUGCCAGCUGCCUCCUUAUAAAGGGAGAAAAAUAUAGCUGUAAGUGAGGUAGCUACUACCCGCAAGCACGUAAGCUUGAGAAUCCCUCAAUAUAUUUAGAGGCAAAAUUAGCACAACCGCGCAAAAUUCCGCCUGAAACAUAUUAACUGGCGAUGCAGGACUUCUUUAGUGUGUAGCCUAUGUCUAUAAACCUGGUUUGCUCCCAUUGUAAAGAGAAAUGAAAUCACGCUGCAAAUAGCAAUUUUAGCGAGAAUCAUUAAUCACCUCCUACAAUAAAUACUUCUUUGUAAUUCAACAGUGGUUCUGAAAGGCAUUCUCUUGGAAAAGUCUGUGAAGACGCAAAGGAUUUUCCCGGAAAAAAAAAAAAAAAAAAAAAAAGUGGUCAUGUGUAAAGACACAGCAUCUUGGCUGUCUGCUAAAAAAAUGUACACUCUCUUGCUGGAGAUUGAACUGCGGACUGCAAAAUACCCCCAUGGCAGAUUAUCGUCGUUUAAGGGAGCCCCGAAAAGAAGAAGCCGCUCGGCUGGGGCGGUGGAAGCUGGGAGCGCUUCAGCCCAACUCCGCGCAGCUGGAGGAGGUAAGAGCCGGGGAGCGGCCGGGCUGCCGGCCGCUGCUUUUGCGCCGGUGGCAGCUGUAAGAAAGCCNAUAUUUCCAAACACUUGGAGACAGAAGGCAUAGCUGUCUACGGGAAAAAAAAAAAAAAAAAGAAAGGGGAAAAAAAAACCCAAACCGCACGCUUUUAUUUCUCAGCUCCCCGUGCUCUUCACCCGGGUGGGAACCCACGCUCCACGCCGGGAGCCCGCGCCCUCUCCAUCCCUGCCCGCCCCACUCCGGGGCUCUCCCAGCGCACCCGGCAACCCGUGUAUUGCCUCUGAAGGAGCAAAAUACCUCCCCCCGCACUCCCCGGUAAGGCAC
rnacentral:lncRNA from 1 species